GACGUAGGGCGCGAGCGUUGUCCGGAUUUAUUGGGCGUAAAGAGCUCGUAGGCGGCUUGUUGCGUCGACUGUGAAAACCCGCGGCUUAACUGCGGGCUUGCAGUUGAUACGGGCAGGCUAGAGUUCGGUAGGGGAGACUGGAAUUCCUGGUGUAGCGGUGAAAUGCGCAGAUAUCAGGAGGAACACCGAUGGCGAAGGCAGGUCUCUGGGCAGUAACUGACGCUGAGGAGCGAAAGCGUGGGGAGCGAACAGG
rnacentral:rRNA from 1 species